GCCAGAUGUGAGAGGCGGGCGAUAGGGAGCGCGGGCUGGGCGCGUUUCGCGGCUGUUGGGCGCGGCGGUUAAUGGCUGUUGGUGCCACGUCCUGCUGCAGAUGAAGGUCUGCUAUGUGCUGAGCUUGGGCUGUGUGUUCUGGGCGGGUCCCAGCCUCCAGCAUUGCCCGUGGAAACACAGUGGGUAUGCAGAAUAAGCUGACAGGAUGGCCAAACCCCGAGUGCCUGUUCCUGAUGCUGCUGCACUUGCUAUUUUCAGCAAGAAGAUCAGCACUUGCUAAAUGGCUGUGGGCUGGACGAGGAACAUGCUUUACUGUUGUCCCCUGUUGUACCUCCAAAGCAAACUGGCAUCGUAAUGCUGCUGGAAGAGAAAGCUCCUGCUGUUGAUAUUAUUGUUCAGUGAGACCUCGGACUCAUACACAUGGAUACUCUGUCUGAUGCCUUGCACAGACAGAAUAUUUUGGUAGGCUGAUCAACAUUCGUUUUACCUACGUAGAUGCUUGGCUUAUGAUGUUUUUGUAGAUAUUUUCACUUAUUCAACUGGAUUGUCACAAUGGAAAACGUGGAAACUUCAGGAAAAAGAACAAUGAAACUAUUUGCUUUGAACUUCAAACUUACUACAGUGUGGUGAUUUUUAUGAAGAUAGUUAUGAAGAUAGAGCAAAAUUCAAAAUGCAAGUGAGAUGAAUGCGUUUAACUCUCAUUGAUGAUCUCCUGGUAGACUUUUCCAAAACAAUAAACUCAUCUGAAUCUUUAUAGUUAUGGAUGGCUGUCUUCCUUAAAAUAAAUAAAUAAUCCUUUGAGCAUCGGUUGAAUUCAUGAUUCAGUGGAUGAAAUAUGGAUUGUCAUGCAAGAGAUCUGAUUUUCAUAGUGUCACGUUAAAGUGCCUACAGUGUUUGGAACAUGCUGAGAGAUUCAAAUUCUGUGAGCUCAAAAGGUGAUGAAACUAAAGCAACAAUGAACAUAGGCAAUGCUGGUGAAUGGGUUUUGACAGCUUGUCUGACUCUACCCGAGCUAUGCUAGUCUCAUUUUACAGAGAAUUCUAGCUGGGACAAAAGAAAUAUGAAAUAUUUGGCCCUUUCUGAAAUUUACCACACUUACCAAUCUUACUUGUAAGUCAGGCAUGAUGUACA